GCGGGUAUGGCGGAAUUGGCAGACGCGCUAGAUUCAGGUUCUAGUGGUAGAAAUGCUGUGCAGGUUCAAGUCCUGUUACCCGCA
rnacentral:tRNA from 1 species